rnacentral:rRNA from 1 species
GAUGAACGCUGGCGGCGUGCCUACUAUAUGCAAGUCGAGGGAACAGAUAAGGGGCUUGCUCCUUUGCAAUACACGGCGGUCGUGUGAGUAAAUCGUGGGUAACCUACCUCUCAGACUGGCAUAACUCCGGAAAACCGGGGCUAAGGCCGGAUAACCCUUAGAACCGCCUGGUUCUCAGGGAAAAGAUGGUAUUUCUAUUGCUUGUAGAUCGACCCGAGCCGUACUAGCUAGUUGGUACGGUACCGGCGUACCCAGGCAACGCUACGUAGCCGACCUGAGAGGGUGAUUGGCCCCACUUGAACUGACACACGGUCCAGACCCCUACGGGAGGCAGGAGUAGGGAAGCGUCAGGAAUGGGCGAAAGCGGGACGGAGCAACGCCGCGUGAGUGAUGAACGUCUUCGGAUCGUAAAACGCUGUUAGGAGGGAAGAACGAAUGUGUAAGUAACUGUGCACGUCUUGGCGGUACCUAGGGAGAAAGCCACGGCUAACUACGU